rnacentral:rRNA from 1 species
AAACGACUCUCGGCAACGGAUAUCUCGGCUCUCGCAUCGAUGAAGAACGUAGCGAAAUGCGAUACUUGGUGUGAAUUGCAGAAUCCCGUGAACCAUCGAGUCUUUGAACGCAAGUUGCGCCCGAAGCCAUCAGGCCAAGGGCACGUCUGCCUGGGCGUCACGC